UACGGGAGGCAGCAGUGGGGAAUAUUGCACAAUGGGCGCAAGCCUGAUGCAGCCAUGCCGCGUGUAUGAAAAAGGCCUUCGGGUUGUAAAGUACUUUCAGUCGUGAGGAAGGUGUUAAGGUUAAUAACCUUAGCAAUUGACGUUAGCGACAGAAGAAGCACCGGCUAACUCCGUGCCAGCAGCCGCGGUAAUACGGGGGUGCGAGCGUUAAUCGGAAUUACUGGGCGUAAAGGGCACGCAGGCGGUUAAUUAAGUUGGAUGUGAAAUCCCCCGGGCUUAACCUGGGAAUGGCAUUCAAGACUGGUUAGCUAGAGUCUUGUAGAGGGGGGUAGAAUUCCAUGUGUAGCGGUGAAAUGCGUAGAGAUGUGGAGGAAUACCGGUGGCGAAGGCGGCCCCCUGGACAAAGACUGACGCUCAUGUGCGAAAGCGUGGGGAGCAAACAGGGAUUAGAUACC
rnacentral:rRNA from 1 species